CGUCAACAAAACCUCUAAAGCACAUCUUCAAAGGCUGACCUUCCAAUAUGUUAAUGAAGACCAAGACUAAGUGGGUUCUGAGUCGAGGUAUCUAAACGGGAACAUUGCCUAGCCACAUACAAUCUUAUUCUCUAAACUUGCUUCAAGAAAGAGGUGUUUAGGGGGAGACAGCAGUACUAAGUAGCCUCGUAAGUAACCGGAAUGUGAGUACACCUGCAGCGAUGCCGAAUAACGGGUUCGAUGUCGCUCAUUCACAUCGGCUCUUAAAAUGUUCUGUCUUCCUUUUAAUGGGAAAUGCACUUGAGAUGCCUGUGGCCAGGUGUAGGCUCCUGCAGUACAGUGUGGCUACUUGAGAACGCUAUAUCUUCCGGCGGAAAGGUGAAAGGUUCAUCUCAGCGCAGCAUGACUCCAGCACUUAAUCUAUUGCUUGGCGAAUGAAAACCGCCUGUGGACGACAUGUUGGCUGAGAGGAACAAUGAACAAUACGUGGAUAAUCAAAGCACCACUUUGAAGAACAUGAAUAUUUAGGAAGAUGCCUGUCAGAAUCAACAAAGAUCUUACCUUCCAGUGGAGGAGAUAGAUUCUUUUGCCCGUCUCAUUUUCAUUUCACGGUACCUCUUCUUCAAAUUACCUUUUUAUUGUUAUUCCGACGGAAGCGUUUUGAACUAUACCGCCGCCCUGCUGAAUUGUCAGCAAAUGCACAUUGUACUUUGUUAUGGGUAUCACAGAAUUCUCCUGUUGUGAAUCAACAACACAUAUACAUGAAAGACAAGAGCGCUAGCAAGUAGCAAAGUAGAAGUAGAAGGGAAAAAAAAUCAUUCAAUUUGAUGAUCUUCAUUUAUUGUUCUGCUUUAGAAGUGUAGAUGGUAGUGAAACCAUCUUAAGAUACACUUGUUCUUUUUUUUAGUCACGCUGCUCAUUGGCAGAGAAGAGCGCAGUAGUCAUUUGUGAUAUUGCUAUCUCACUCAAAUGGAUGUUGUCAGUCUCAUUCAUUUAAGUUACAAUUCAUUUACCCGACCACAUAAACACUCAUCUCUGCCUAUGCGAUAGGCUUUUAAAUCCAAAACACCCAUUCCACCAUGGAACACAACUUGAGAAGAUUACAUUCAGUGCAUCAGAGACCUGAAGCAGUGAGAUCAGGUUUCAGAAACAGAAAAAUAAUGAUGAGCACAAGGGAUAUGAUAUUGUCUUUGUUCUACCCAUUGCUAUGGCUACAACAUCAAUUUUGGUCAGUAUGUCUACUUUCUAAGAUUGUGUUGUGAUUGAAAACAAUACAUCUGUUGUAUGACUCCCAGAGAAGGAGAAAAUCGUAGUGUAGAAAACAUCAGAAGAAAAAUGAAAUCACUAUGCAAUCUUGUAACAGCAUCAAGAGAAUGAGCUCUCACAAAGUGAAAUGAUUAAGCACGUAAGCUAAUGAUUCCUCCCUCUCUCUCUCUCUCUCUUUGUGUUUGUAAUGAGGCACCCCAUGCAUACAUGACAAAAACAUGCUCCGUGUUUUCAUCUGUUCGGUGCAUUCCAAACCCCAGAUCUGUCCAACAGUGACAGACUCCAUGUCAUCCUUAUUUGAGACAGUGUCCUUGUUUCCUUGUCCACUUUCUGUCCCUCUCUCUAGAAUCUGCCACAUCUGUAAGUCUGCCUCUCUCUCUCUCUCUGCAUUGACCUCUCUAUCUAUCUCCCACAAUACACACGGAUGUACACACACACAUGCUCUUUCCCUCAUCUUCAAACUUCACUUCAUCUUCCCCCCUCUUUCUCUCUCCCUCUCUCUCUCCCUCUCCCUUCCUCCCUCCCUCUAAUCCUCUGCUCUUGUGAAGAGCAUUGGGCCAUGCAGCUGUGCUCCUCUGGCACUCAGAGAGGCGGCCACUCAACCCCCCACUCACCAGAGGGGUCCAGACCACCUGGCUCCAGGGGCAGCUGACUGGCCUAUUCAGCUGAAUGCACAGGCAGACCAGCGGCUCAUCCCUGGCCUGCCCCGGAGGUGGACGCGUGGAGUGCGAGGGGCCUGUGUGGAAGGUCAGCGGAGCCAGAGGAAAAGCCCACGUUUGUGGGAGCGCGAGGCGAGUGGAUGAGUGACCAUUUACACCCGAGUGGAACAUAGGGAGAGAUUCACGGGGAGUCAGCUGAUGCUACUGGCACUAUAUUUGUAUCGCAGGAAGGGAUGGGAAUUAUUUACUUCCUGCCAUUAUAGAAUAAAGGGAUCGAAGAGGGGAGAAAGAGUGACAGAAGUAAUAUGGCGUAUUUUUAACUAAAGGGGGACGGGAAUACCCAUGUGUUUGGAUUCACUCUGCUGAUUUCUGCUCCAGGUGUCCGUCAGAGAUUGCCUAGUAUGGUUAUUUAAUUAGUAUCUUUGACAAAAUUCCGUUUCUAUUUGGAAUUCUCAGAAUAUACUAUAAUUCAUGCAUCAGCCAUUUGUAUGUUAGUCUUAGGUUAGGUGGCUGUUUUUGAAUGCAUUUCAGAGCCAGUAUUAUUUUGUCACAGAUGUUAUGAGAUGUUUCAACAAGACAUGUCAUUUGAUUACUCUAUUGCCAUUGUUGAGUCUAAAAUGUUAUUUUACUUUUUAUUUUUUAAUUUUUUAUUAAUUGAAAUAGGUAAAACAAGAUAUUAUGUCUGCAUGACACACUGUAAAUCAAAUGAUUAUGUUCAAAGUAACUAGUACAGAAGAACUGAUGACUUACUUUAGAAAUGAUGUGUUGCACAUGCCAUGUUGUUGGGCAGGAUGGGCAGGAUGUUAUAUUUAUCAUUUAUGUUUCUGGCCCUCUGAUUCUCUCAGAAUAUCCUUUGUUUAAAGUGCCAUGGUGUGUUCAGUGGAAAGGCUUUUUUCACUCAAAUGACAACACAGCAAAUUAAUGUUUUGCUUUACACAUCUCUCAACAUUUUUGACACAACACAGAUCAUUUAUUUUUAAGAAUAACACAUUGUAACGUAACAUUUUAAAUAAAGGAAAUAUUUUGGGGAAAAAACCUCAACAGCUAAAACAAAUUAAACAUCUAAAUCGAUCCGUGUGAUCUAUUAUUUUUGGCAAGAAAUGGUUGAAAGCUUUGAUAUGUCAUGAUUGCAUACAUAUUUGAGCCUUGGGGUUGAAGGCUUCUGUUCUCCACGACCUGUGCCAUAAUCCUGAGGUCUGAGGAAGAGCACAGAAGACCUUUCAUCAGGACUCUCCAACUUCCUGUGCCCACAUCUCUGUGUGUUGUUCAACGGAAGUUCC
ensembl:lncRNA